rnacentral:lncRNA from 7 species
AAGGGCUGCCUGCUUGCCUGCGCUGUUCCAUUCCAUCCCUUUGUCCUACAUAUUUUCCCCCCUUGUGAUGUUGUCUAAGAUGGGAACAAACCCACGUUCGCUUGCAAACCCACGGCAGGGGAAGCAGAACAAAACGAGAGUUGCACAAAGCAGGAAAUUUAUUCUCCCUCUCCAGGAAAGGCCCUUUGGGGCCGCUUCUCACUGACGCUGUCACAGGCGCUGAGCUGCGGCUGAGGCCACGUGGAUGGCAGAGCACAAUGCAGGAGGGCUCCGUGUGCUGGGAGAGCCCGCAGUGCCUUUUGGGGUGCAGCUCACACACGCUUUCCUAUCCGAGCACAUAAAUCCGGGGGGAGAUGUUAUGCUGGUGGUAAGUGGAAGGGGUUGGGGCAGAAGGCAGCCGGAUCCAGGAGCUCUGAGCAACACGUGUGAGCCCGGGUGCUCCUCCUUCCCCAAACAAACGGGUUGAGCUCUGUUUGAGGUACACACACGAGCAGAUGUUGGCAAACCUCCCAUCUGUGACCCUACAGGAAGAGUCUGACGGAGCGCAGGGCUCGCCUUUGUUUUCCUCUUUCUUUGUUUCCCUGGCUGAAGGAGCCCAAGGUCCAUACCCAGCGGGCAGUCAGCACGGAGUACAGAGGGAACCCAAGGUUUGUUAGGGCUUUGCAGAAGGACUCCGUGCUCCAUCCCUGUAAGCUGUGCUCAGAUGACAUCUUGAGUGCCACCUCAAGGUCUGCUGUGCCAGGAAUCCCUGAACUUCAACUCCCAGCUUUCACCCCCCUUCCCCAUCUCCUGUACCUUGAGCAGUAAAUGCUAUUCAAGGGGUUGUGAAAUAAAAACGCUGUUCC